GUGGGGAAUAUUGGACAAUGGGCGAAAGCCUGAUCCAGCCAUGCCGCGUGUGUGAAGAAGGUCUUCGGAUUGUAAAGCACUUUAAGUUGGGAGGAAGGGCAGUAAGUUAAUACCUUGCUGUUUUGACGUUACCGACAGAAUAAGCACCGGCUAACUUCGUGCCAGCAGCCGCGGUAAUACGAAGGGUGCAAGCGUUAAUCGGAAUUACUGGGCGUAAAGCGCGCGUAGGUGGUUUUGUAAGUUGGGGGUGAAAUCCACGGGCUCAACCUGGGAACUGCCUCCAAAACUGCAUGACUAGAGUACGGUAGAGGGUAGUGGAAUUUCCUGUGUAGCGGUGAAAUGCGUAGAUAUAGGAAGGAACACCAGUGGCGAAGGCGACUACCUGGACUGAUACUGACACUGAGGUGCGAAAGCGUGGGGAGCAAACAGGAUUAGAUACCCGAGUAGUCC
rnacentral:rRNA from 1 species